rnacentral:rRNA from 1 species
ACGAAGGGUGCAAGCGUUACUCGGAAUUACUGGGCGUAAAGCGUGCGUAGGUGGUGCGUUAAGUCUGUCGUGAAAGCCCCGGGCUCAACCUGGGAAUGGCGAUGGAUACUGGCGCGCUAGAGUGCGGUAGAGGAGAGUGGAAUUCCCGGUGUAGCAGUGAAAUGCGUAGAGAUCGGGAGGAACACCAGUGGCGAAGGCGAGUCUCUAGACAACUCCUGACACUGAGGCACGAAAGCUAGGGGAGCAAACAGGA